GGCUGGUCCAAAGGUAGUGGGUUAUCUCCCUCGAUUGUUCACAGUCAUUACAGCUUGAACUCUUUGUUCUACUACUUUCCUCCCUUCUCACCUCUGCACUUGUCUUAAA
rnacentral:Y_RNA from 1 species